GUUCCCGUAGUGUAGUGGUCAUCACGUUCGACUAACACGCGAAAGGGCCCCGGUUAGAAACCGGGCGGAAACA